UACAGAGGUCUCAAGCGUUGUUCGGAUUCAUUGGGCGUAAAGGGUGCGUAGGCGGUCUGACAAGUCUGAUGUGAAAUCUAUGGGCUCAACCCAUAGUCUGCAUCGGAAACUGUCGGGCUUGAGUAUGGGAGAGGUGAGUGGAAUUCCUGGUGUAGCGGUGAAAUGCGCAGAUAUCAGGAAGAACACCAAUGGCGAAGGCAGCUCUCUGGGACGGUACUGACGCUGAGACGCGAAAGCGUGGGGAGCGAACAGG
rnacentral:rRNA from 1 species